rnacentral:rRNA from 1 species
AACGUAGGUGGCAAGCGUUAUCCGGAUUCACUGGGCGUAAAGCGCAUGCAGGUGGCACAGUAAGUAGGGCAUGAAAACUCCUGGCUUAACUGGGAGAGGCUGUCCUAGACUGCUGAGCUUGAGGAUGGGAGAGGGAAGUGGAAUUGCCGGUGUAGUGGUGAAAUGCGUAGAGAUCGGCAGGAACACCCGUGGCGAAAGCGGCUUCCUGGCCCAUUCCUGACACUCAGAUGCGAAAGCUAGGGGAGCGAACGGG